rnacentral:misc_RNA from 1 species
UUUCGUUUGCCCCUUCCCAUCCAACGCUCCGUGUGGGUUGUUGGAGGGCCACAUAGUAGUCCCCGUGUUCCACGAGAGCGUCGUGUUGGCGUCGGCUCCCAAGGCCCAUGGGGAUCUACUGGUCUCUUGGAUGCGGUCUACGUUGUGGUCGUGUGACUGAUGUCACAUUCGCCCAUACAAAAAUUCGGUUUGCCUGAAUGAUGUCCGUGCUUGCGUCGAUUCGCCUUGCCCCGGCUCGGUGAUCUCGUGCAACGCCCGGCAUCACAAAGGGAUGCUACCUGGUUGAUCCUGCCAGUAGUCAAUGCUUGUCUCA